CGGCUUUGAUAUACCAGUCAUGGUGCACUGGCUGUGACGAGAAAUAGCCCAAUGGAAAUUGGAAAAUGCUUAGUUAAAGCACAGACAACAUAUUUUACUUUGUCUAGAGUCUAGACUCUUAAAGUUUUAUAAGCACCAGAUAAUAAUAAUAAGGCACUGAGUAAACUUUAAAAUUAUCUUAUUAAGUAAACUUUGGUGUCCUUUUAAUUGAUGAUGGCUGGUGUUACAAGAAAUUUUAAUUUUUAUAUUAAUACUUUUUUGAAGAAAUGGAGAAAGGUAUUCGAUCGUAGAUUAUAAUGUGUUUGCACCAAAAUCAUUUCCCGUUAACAGGCCAGUUCAAGAUUACUCGAGGUUAUAUGCCUACCUUUUCCCCCACAGGGUGUAUACGUUAGUUCAGUUAUUUGUCUACGUUUUCCCCCAUAGGGUGUAUAUAUUAGUCUGGAUAUAUGCCUACCUUUUCCCUACAAGAUGUAUAUGUUAGUCCGGUUAUAUGCAUAUUUUACCCCACAUGUAUAUGUAUGAUGUAUAUGUUAGUCCGGUUAUACGCACCCCCCCCCCCCCCCUCCCAACACACACACACACAGAGGAUGUAUAUGUUAUACGCAUACCUUUUUUUCCCCACAUGAUGUAUGUGUUAGUCUGGUUAUACGCAUUCUUUUUUCCCACAGGAUGUAUGGUUGCUAACGAAUGUAAGCCAGUUGGCUACCAGAAACACAGACAGCUGGAGCACGGGAGGGAGACGUGCACGUGUACCGGGAUCGUGGCAUGGUCGUGUACAGCUGUGGGUAUUCCACUCUUUAUAACCAGGAAACCCACCGUAGCGCCACCCACAGAUGUAGCGCCUUAGAUUUCGACAAAAGUGAUAUAUAGAUAGACAGACCAGAAAUGACGUGUGUUGAUGUACCAGUAACAUGCAACAUUCUUUGCUGCAUUUCACAAAUGGAUUGUUCAAUACAUUAAUAUAUGUAAAAUGUCUAUCUUGGUGAUUACGUUUGAAAUAACAACCAAUAAAACAAAAUUUUCACA